AGCAGCCGCGGUAAUUCCAGCUCCAAUAGCGUAUAUUAAAGUUGUUGCAGUUAAAAAGCUCGUAGUUGAAUUUCGGGGUUAGUAGGUUGGUCAUGCCACUGGUAUGUACUGGUCUCACUGAUUCCUCCUUCCUGAUGAGCCGUAAUGCCAUUAAUUUGGUGUUGCGAGGAAUCUGGACUGUUACUUUGAAAAAAUUAGAGUGUUUAAAGCAAGCUAACGCUUGAAUACAUUAGCAUGGAAUAAUGAAAUAGGACGUUCGAUCCUAUUUUGUUGGUUUCUAGGAUUGACGUAAUGAUUAAUAGGGAUAGUUGGGGGCAUUAGUAUUCAAUUGUCAGAGGUGAAAUUCUUGGAUUUAUUGAAGACUAACUACUGCGAAAGCAUUUGCCAAGGAUGUUUUCAUUAAUCAAGAACGAAAGUUAGGGGAUCGAAGACGAUCAGAUACCGUCGUAG
rnacentral:rRNA from 1 species